rnacentral:rRNA from 1 species
GCUGGCGGCAGGCCUUAUACAUGCAAGUCGAGCGCAUCCUUCGGGAUGAGCGGCGGACGGGUGAGUAACGCGUGGGAAUGUGCCCUUCUCUACGGAAUAGCCACUGGAAACGGUGAGUAAUACCGUAUACGCCCUCAGGGGGAAAGAUUUAUCGGAGAAGGAUCAGCCCGCGUUAGAUUAGGUAGUUGGUGGGGUAACGGCCUACCAAGCCUACGAUCUAUAGCUGGUUUUAGAGGAUGAUCAGCCACACUGGGACUGAGACACGGCCCAGACUCCUACGGGAGGCAGCAGUAGGGAAUCUUGGACAAUGGGGGCAACCCUGAUCCAGCCAUGCCGCGUGAGUGAAGAAGGCCCUAGGGUCGUAAAGCUCUUUCGCCUGUGAUGAUAAUGACAGUAGCAGGUAAAGAAACCCCGGCUAACUCCGUGCCAGCAGCCGCGGUAAUACGGAGGGGGUUAGCGUUGUUCGGAAUUACUGGGCGUAAAGCGCGCGUAGGCGGAUUGGAAAGUUGGGGGUGAAAUCCCGGGGCUCAACCCCGGAACUGCCUUCAAAACUCCCAGUCUAGAGUUCGAGAGAGGUGAGUGGAAUUCCGAGUGUAGAGGUGAAAUUCGUAGAUAUUCGGAAGAACACCAGUGGCGAAGGCGGCUCACUGGCUCGAUACUGACGCUGAGGUGCGAAAGUGUGGGGAGCAAACAGGAUUAGAUACCCUGGUAGUCCACACCGUAAACGAUGAAUGCCAGUCGUCGGAUAGUAUACUAUUCGGUGACACACCUAACGGAUUAAGCAUUCCGCCUGGGGAGUACGGUCGCAGGAUAAACUCAAUGAUGACGGU